rnacentral:lncRNA from 1 species
AGGAAAUAACGUUAUGGCGAAAGGGCGAAUUUAAAAGACGACAACAUCCCGUGUUGGUCACAGACAUGGACUCGGAGAAGAAAGAAUGAUCUGAAAUAACAAGGCAAGCAUUUUUAUAUCAAAAAUUGUUGAAAUUACAUUGUACAUUGCUAUGGUUGUGGUUGACAGAACCUAAGUUGAAAAAUCGAUUGGCCUUUCCGUAAUCUCAUGGGAACGCCCUGUUGGAUGGCGAAAAGUUAGUCGGUAGAUAUAUUGAAUAGGAACUCCAAAUUAUUUGAUUAUUUGAAUGUUGGAUUGGUCUGUCCUCGCCAGUCAUUCACUGGGAAAUGGACAAUCCAGCUAUAUACUAAAUUUUGAUCUAGGCAAGAAAAACGAAAUCCAUCACCACAGCUAGAAAGAGCAUGUUAAAAUUAGUAAAAUUGCAAAUUUUGUUUGCGAAGUGUUGUAAAAUGAGGAAGAUAUAGACCUAACAAAUUUGCAAAUUUUGUAUUAAUUUUUAUUACGCGCUGGAAAAUGCACCUCAUUUCGGCCGAAAGUGGUUCAUUUUCUUGUGCGUAAUACAAAUUAAUACAAAAUUUGCAAAUUUCACAGGGCUAUAUAUUUUCCACAUUUUACAACAUUUCGCAACCAAACUUUGCAAUUUUACUAAUUUUAACAUGCUCUUUCUAGCUGUGGUGAUGGAUUUCGUUUUUCUUGCCUAGAUCAAAAUUUAGUCUAUAUCUGGGAUCAUCCAUUUAGGGGGCUGAUUACAUGGAGAGUUUUCAGCCCGGGCUGAGUUUCAGCCCGGUGAGAUCCACUUGCCUUGUUAACAACGCAUAUAAAAUUCGAUUUGUUUUCAUAUGAGAAAUGUGCCAGCCCAGCUACAUGCACGCGUGAACAACCUGUUUCCGGUUGAUAUCGGCAGACUUGAACAAGCUUGUGCUGUACCCUAAUGCCUGGUUUCCAUAUGGUCGUAAAGAUUGAGUCGCGAUCUUUCUCAUCAGCCGAAAUACAACAUUUUAGAACAUACUAGAACUGAAAAUACGCAGCGUGAUUAUAACUAGAGAAUACUUAUGAUUUAUAUGUGGUUUACAGGUAUAAACUAUUAUUGAGUGACUCUAUUUUACGACGAUAUCGAAACCAGGCUUGAGAACAAGUUGUCAAUAAUGUUGUUGCAACAUUGCUUAGUUGUAACAAUGCUGUGACAACAUUGUUGACAACUUGUUCUUAGAGUGCAAGCACAACGUUUUCCAAGCCUGUCGAUAUCAACCGGGGACAGUUGUUCGUUUUUACGCGUGUACACACGCAGAAAUCUCACAUUUUGUAUAGCAAGUCUGCCAACAAGCCAUCAACAAGUUGUGUUCGCAUUGCUUGUCCCAAGUUGUCAACAAGUUUGGAACAAGCUGUUAACAACUUGUAACAACCUUGUUGAUAUUAUCAGACUUGUUGCAAGGUUGUUCCAACAAGUCCGAUACAGUCAUGAUAUAACAAUAUUGUUAUACAACUUUGUGUCGUCAACCUUGUAACAUUCUUGUUAUAUCAUGUUUGUAUCAGACUUGUUAGAACCGGUAACAAAGUCUGAUAAUGCCAUCAAGCUUGUUACAAGUUGUUGACAGCUUGUUCCAAACUUGUUACAACAACUUGUGAACAGAUUUUUAACAACUUGUUUGCAAUCCUGUAACAACUUGUGUGUUUUUACGUGUGUAGAUAAGAUCUCGCAAAAUUCAAUAGCUACCACAGAAUUUGAAAUAUAUACUCUUAACAGUCGUCGAUACUUAGCCUAUCCAAUGCCAUGGUUCAGUCACGUGACGCUAAACCUGUAAAGCGAUUGGUUUAAAAAUGAAUAAUCAAAUAAAUUAUGUUGUCAAUACCAGCACGAAAUAAUUGGCACCCUCGUAGAUGAUUAAAUUGUGCCGACAUGGUGCAGUGAUAGAAUAUAGAAAUUUGGUAAUUGUAACGUAUGAAUGAUUCAUAAUAUUUAACUUUUAUGCUUUUGUUUUUUUGCUCUAGUUCUAGGUUUUGCGCCCCAUUAAAGUGCAUAUGACAUGAAAUUUCUUAUUUUCUUAAAUGAAAGAACUCUUUAAGCUGUAGUGUAACUUACUUUUCAGUUUCUUGUUUUUAUGUUUUUUUCCCGAGAUAUUUCAAUUUGUUUGGUAUGUAAAUGAGUGUGAAUAUGUCCGCUAAUUUAUGACGUCAUGUUGGUUGCAAGCUCUUCAAAAUGGUGGAAUAUCACUGCUAUUGUCC